rnacentral:rRNA from 1 species
GACGGAGGGUGCUAGCGUUGUUCGGAAUUACUGGGCGUAAAGGGCGCGUAGGCGGCCUGGUCAGUCGGAUGUGAAAGCCCGGGGCUCAACCCCGGAACGGCAUCCGAGACGGCCAGGCUGGAGACCGGGAGAGGAGAGUGGAAUAGCCAGUGUAGAGGUGAAAUUCGUAGAUAUUGGGAAGAACACCGGUGGCGAAGGCGGCGACCUGGUCCUUUUACUGACGCUGAGGCGCGAAAGCGUGGGGAGCAAACAGG